rnacentral:rRNA from 1 species
CCCUUAGAUGUUCUGGGCCGCACGCGUGCUACACUGAGUGGAUCAGCGGGUCAGGUUGCGCGAAAGUGUUUCCUAAUCUUGAAAUCCGCUCGUGAUGGGGAUUGACGGUUGCAAUUUUCCGUCAUGAACGAGGAAUACCUUGUAAGCGCGGGUCAUCAUCCCGCGCUGAAUACGUCCCUGCCCUUUGUACACACCGCCCGUCGCUCCUACCGAUUGAGUGGUCCGGUGAGGCUUUGGGAUCUGAGCAAAGAGAGCGUUUCUCUCGUUUUGCCCGGAAAACUCAGUCGAACCUUAUCAUUUAGAGGAAGGAGAAGUCGUAACA